AUAAAACAAGCCACAACACAACUUCAAUUAUUACAAACCCAAAUCCCAAAAUAAAAACUUAAAUCUUACAAGCUUACACGUCAUUUGUGUCUCAUUAUUCAAACUAAUACAUAUAUCAAAAGUCAAGCGCUGCCGAUAGCUUUCUCCAUCUCUCAGCCUGGAAUCCUGGCCUUACCACUAGCCUGAGUAUCAUCGUUACCAACCUUCUCUGCUUUCACUGGAAAGAACAUAGAGUAUCGCAAGAGUGAGCUGACAAGCUCAGCAAGUAUAAUAAUAUCCAUUUAAACAUUUAUCAAAAGAUGAUGGAAGUCAGUAUUUAAUAGAAUCAAUCUCAAUAUCAAAGUUUCUUUUUAGAUUUUCAAUUAGAAUUGGAUAUUAAAUUUUAUUUUUAAAAACCAAAGGUUAGGCUGCUGAUCAGUCAGACACUAACCCCGAGCAGGCCCCGCCAUGCUCGUUUACUGGAUCCAAGGCACACAUUGGCCUAAAGUGACCACUCAUCUGGUCUGACCAUUCAUUUGGUCCAUUUAAGAAAACUAUCCAAUUCUAUUAUAAAUCAGGAUGAAUAACAACAUAAUGCAAUAAACAGAAUCAUUAAGAACAUAAUUAAAUUUUUGGAGCAGAAACAGAAUUCAGUUCAGAAGCAUCUUAAAGAUAUUCCAUAAUGAGAAUCAGGAAUAAUUUCACGAGUUAAGGAAUCAGAUAUAGCAUAUCUGGAUUUCAAGUGAACAAUAAUCAUGGUUUGUAUGGAAGAAGGUCUCUGGUUUUAUUAAAAGAUCCACAUGUCAAAGGAUGUUUUCAAAUCCAAAGAAGUUAGGUUAUUGAAAAGGAAUAAGCAAUUAUGGGGUAUAUGGUGUUUCAAGUAUGAUUGACUUCCGGUCAAUUGGUUUGGAUAGCAAAGGUGUGUCAAAACAUUGAAAUAAGGUUCAUAGGGUAGUUAUCCAAAAAAAAAAAUCUCAAGGUUUGAAGGUUUACAGUUGAAUAAGGUUUCCAAAAUAGGUAUCAAAGAAUCAAGUUAAGGGCUCAAGAAUCAAUAAAUGAAUAGUCCAAGUGAUAGUCAAAGAAUCUGGUUGAUGGUUUAAGAAUCGAUGAAUUAAACAAUUCAUGAUAUGGCUCAUUAAGUGUCAUGAGUGAAUUAGAAAGCUCGCAAAGCAAUCACAUCAAGGAUCAUAUAUAUAUAUUUGAAGGAAAGUACCAAGGAAACUUGCCUUAUACUGACGAUUUCAAAUUUCAAUCGCUCCUGCUCGUUAUACUAUUCUAUAUCCACUUGCUUUCCCCCUCUAAUACGCCUGGCUUCUCUGCUAAUCAUCACAACUAAUUAUCAAUAUGUGAUCUCAUACUAUUCUCAUCAUCUUACAUUCGAAACGGGCUUCUAUCUACCCUUCGUUUCACCCAAAUCCGAUUUACGGAUCAAAAGAUAUAUCAAAAACAAUUUUAUAUCAAUCACGUAAACACAUAACAUCUCAAUCAGAUAGCACAUAGCACGUAUCACAUAAAAUAUUUAAUAAAAUAUAUUUUUCAAAAGAAGUUUGAAGUCAAACGGACUUUUCUGGUAUUUAUUAUGAAUUUUUUAAACAUUUUUCGGAAUUAAAACGGGUCAAAGAAUCAUUUUAUAAAUAAAUAAUCCAUUUCUGGAUACUCGAAAUCAAGCCCGAAAUCAUUUGAAAUCAAUUAACGAGCUUCAAUCAUAUUUUAGAAUAAUAUUUUAAAGCUCGAAACUAUUUUUCGGAAUUUUAAAAUCAUUUAAAAUUAUUUAAAAUAAUUAAAUCUAAUUAAUAAAUCAAUUAAAAUCAAUUAAUAAUUAAUUAAAACAAUUAAUCAAUUAAUAAUUAAAUUAAUUGACUAAUUAUAAUAAUUAAUUACUAAUUAAAAUUAAUUAAUAAAUUAAAUCAGAUUUAUUUUUGAAUUUAUAAAUAAUUAAAAACAAUUUUUGAAAUUAAAAUAAAUGAUUUUCGAAAUUAAAUUUAAAUCAGAAAUCAUUUUUAAAACUUUUUAAAAGUCCAGGGUUUGAAUUGCAACUUUUGGAAACUUCAGGGUUUAAAAGUUACCAUCUCCAAAAGUCAGGGGGCCAGGUGGUAAUUUACCACCGGCGGCGCCCCCCGACCGCCGGAGACGGCGGCUCAGGCCUCCACGGGCCAUGGAAACGUGCAGAUCACAAGCAUUCAACCCCAUAAACUUGCUCAAGCCAUCAAAAUCCUUAAACAAGCAACGUUGAAGUCGCCGUUUGAGGAUUAAAAACCCGCCGCCGACGGAAUAUUCCCAGGCAUCGGCGGCGCCUUCCCCGCCUCCUCCACUUCAAUUAAUCACUGAAAUCAACUCUACACCGGCUUAUAAACAUGAUGGUAUAGUUUGUUUGUGCUCAGAAUCACCAGAUAACCAAACCCCAAAUUUCAAUUGAAUAUAUUCAAAGAACACGAAGAACCCUAGUUUUCUAAUUCGACAAUCAAACUCAAUUUUAAAGGUGUUAUGAACCUCCAAAUCACACAUAUAACAUACCAAAAUGACCAGGAGAAGAUUAUCUACAACAUACAAUCAUCAAAUCACACAAACAACUUCAAAAUCAAAAAGCCCUAAUUUAAGCCUAUUUAUUUCGAAUUUAAAACUCAAAAUCCAUACCCACCUGAUGUUGCUGCACUGAUUUUGAUGCUAGAUUAUGAUUCUACUUGUUAAAACCUUCAAUUUGAGCCCUUGAACGCCAAAAUCCGAGUCCGAUAACGCGUCCAAAUCCUCGUUUGAAUCUCAAGAACACGAAGAACUCUCUCGGGAAUUUCUCGGUUUUAACAUGUUUUAUGAUUUUCG
rnacentral:lncRNA from 1 species